CCGGCCAGGUCGCGGACCGGAGAGGAGCUCGGCCACGCUACAGGGAAGGGGAGGUGAGGCAGUGCGGCAGCCGUCUGAGCACUCUCUAUAGAGCGCUCAGUCGGCUGUGGCAUUUAAAGGGCCGGCAGCCGCCGGCCCUGCCUAGGUCUUAUUUUCGGGGUAGGGCUUAUAUUGCAGCCCACCCCGAUAAUCCAGCUAGGGCUUAUUUUCGGGGUAGGGCUUAUUUUCGGGAAAACACGGUAGUUUUUU